AGGCACAAAACCUACUUUUUCUUUUAAUGAAAGUUGAGAUUUUCACAACUCCAGAACUUGGAGCUCUGAGGAAAACAAACAUUAAUUACAGUUAUGAGAACUGGCAGAAUUGAGAAGGUGAACUCUGUAUGGUCUUCACCAGUCAAAAUGAAGAGAGCAGGACUGAUGCUUGAUGUUAUGGGCCUGAAACAAUAGAAUUUCUCCCUGCAAAAGCUGUAGGAAUGUGCAAAAGAUGCAAGAUCGUGUACCCCAGAUGGCUCCUUUCUGUCUGGGAGCACUAAAAAGCAGAAGAACAUGAAGAGAACAGGAAAACCCUAAGCUCUAUCGUCAGGCAAUAGGCAGACCUCAGCUGAGUUCAGUGGUUCUUCGGCUCAAUCACUUCCACCAGUUAAGAAUAUAACCCAAGAGAAAAAACCUGAAUCAGUGAAUUAUUACUCUCUGGAAGUUUUGCUGCCUUUCAAAGUUGGAUACAGUAGUUACGUGCACAUGGGUUUUGGUUCUUCUGUACUCUGAAGAGCUGAAAUAGGAUGGAAAAUGACGACAGAGCCGGGCAGUUUGCCUCAGCCACUGUUCUGGGGAGGAGGGUGUGAUAACCAGAGGACGCUCUGGUUCAGAUCAUAUAAUACAGAGAAGAUUGUAGACUCUGCUUCUGCUAAGGCACCCAGGAACUCCUGCUGCAGCCUUCUGUUGUUGUUCUGGUCUGAUUGCAGUCUGCACUCACUCUGAAUGUGUAAAAAUGACAAGAUGACAUAUAGGUAUUGGAAGAGCAAGCUUCAGAAGUUCUUUCCAAUUUUUUGGGGUGUUACUGGCUCCAGCAAUAUUUCCUACAGUUAAUAACCAAAACAGUUCUAGAAAAGAUUAUUCUAUCUGAAGAAUACAUUUUGUUGUAAGGAACAAACGAGAUCAAACCCACACAGUGUAGAGAGAGAAUUACAAAACAUUGUGAAAAUAAUAUUUAAAAUUACUUUCCCAUCUCAUGCUUCAUGGAUUCACUUGUGGCAGUGAAUUGUAUAUGCUAUUGUCAGUGAUGCCCUUAAUUGGGGGUUCUGUGUGUCAGGGUCCGCAGCUGUGUAUGGAGAAAUGACUGCCUCCUACUACAGGAAUCCUUCAACCUCAGCACUGAGCUAAAAAGAAAGUAAUUUCUAUUUCCUAUCCUCCAGCAGGUAUAGUAAUGAAAAAAGCUAAGUGAUUGUAAGCUCUCCUUUAACAUAAAGUUCAUCAAGCCUUAGUUCAAAGUAAUUUGGAGUGAACUUGUAAAAGCCAAUGAAAAGCUAUGCUUACACAUUGCGAUACAGUGUGCCUUGCGAACACAACCAUUCUUUGCAUGCAUCUAAGAGGAGGUGCGUGAGGUUGUUCUUCACAUGCCUAGUGACACUACAGACUCAGACAUCCCAUCCUGAAGUUCUCAGUACUGAUCACUGCCAAGAAGAAGACUAGGGCAAGAUUAAUCUCUGAGGUCACCUCACAUGUAUGAGGUGAAAUUUAAUAGAUUAUUUUGUUGCCUAUCUGUAAUUUAUAAAUCAGCUUCUGAUCCCAGCUUAAUUCCUCUAGCUCCGUCUCCAUUGUUUUCUCUUAACUUGUAUUUCUUCAGCAUCUUAUUUAGGCCAUGAAAGAUUUCCCUGAUGACUGGCUUGGAGAAGGUGUAAGAAAAAGUUUCUUGGAGGGAGAUCAGUAUAUGCCACUCUCCAGAUUCCAGCCUGACCGGGACUUGACCUUCUUGUGCUUUUCUGUGUUGGGUUUGGGUGGGUUUUUUUUAUUAUUAUUUCAGAAAGUUUUGAUGAUGUUACUGUUCAGGAAACAGAGCAAAAGCCCAUUGUUUUCCCAGAUUAUCUCCUCAGAUGCACUCCUGAAAUAUAUUGCUUGGUCCGACUGCAGAUCAACCACAAAUGCUAAAGCAAAUAAUACUGUGGGAGUCUGAAAUUGCAAAUGCCGUUCAGAAUAGUCACAGAUACUUUGAUGUGGGCACUCGCUUUAUAUUUCCUGCAUUUUUUCACUCUAAACAUAGUUUUGCCUUUAACUGUUUUCACACAGUCUCUCAGGUCAUGUCUCUGUGCCAUUAAAUGACACCGUAUAAAUGCUAUGCACCUGAUGCUUUGGUAUAUACUGUACCAGAGCUACACCACUAGUACCUAAAGCAAAGGCAUGGAUUUGGGAGGAUUCAGAUGUCAAGUGCAUAUGCGAGUCACUUGGGAGUUUGAAGUUCUGGGAUUAAUUUGUGUGGUUAUAAGGAUAGGUACUACCCAGUAAUCCAAACCUCCAAACUCAAACGAUUAAAUACCUGACUCUGGAUCUUGACUCUGGCACAUAUGCAAUUCCAGGCAAGAGGAGAAGCUUGUUGUGGCAGAGAAUCUGGGGAUAAAAGAGUGGGAAAUGUCUUGUUUUAAGGGUAUUGCUAUGCCUUCAUAGUGGAGGAAUUGGAAAUACUUUCUUUCCCUCACACUGUACCAUUUUCUUAAUCUCUCUACUGUGCUGGUUGAAAACAUACUGUAAACCUAUUGUACAGCAAAAAGGAUGUUAUCUAAAAAGUUAUUAAUAGCAUAUGUGCACCAAUUCUUGGCGUGUUCUUGCCAGUGCUACAGUAUUUAUAUCCCAUACCUUAAGUAUUAUUGUCUCUUUUUCUUUCUUUGAAAGAACAAUAUUUUUUUCUAUUUCACGCACCAUGGAUAUUUAUCAUACACAUACUUAUUUAUUCCUUUUGGCAACCGUACUUCCAAGAUGCACCAGCCAGAUGGAUUGGGAUGGUCUUUAAAAAUAUUGUGCAGGACAUAAGAGAAGUGGAAAAUCCAUAGCACAAAGA